rnacentral:rRNA from 1 species
UACGAACCGUACGAACGUUAUUCGGAAUCACUGGGCUUAAAGAGUGCGUAGGCGGCCUUGCAAGUUGGGUGUGAAAGCCCUCGGCUCAACCGAGGAAUUGCGCUCAAAACUGCAGGGCUCGAGUGAGAUAGAGGAGAGCGGAACUGAUGGUGGAGCGGUGAAAUGCGUUGAUAUCAUCAGGAACACCAGUGGCGAAAGCGGCUCUCUGGAUCUCUACUGACGCUGAGGCACGAAAGCUAGGGGAGCGAACGGG